rnacentral:piRNA from 1 species
GCGCUGUUCGAGUACCGGUAGAAGCUGA